UGGGGAAUAUUGGACAAUGGGCGAAAGCCUGAUCCAGCCAUGCCGCACGAGUGAAGAAGGCCUUUGGGUUGUAAAGCUCUUUUAGUGAGGAAGAUAAUGACGGUACUCACAGAAGAAGUCCUGGCUAACUCCGUGCCAGCAGCCGCGGUAAUACGGAGAGGGCUAGCGUUAUUCGGAAUUAUUGGGCGUAAAGGGCGCGUAGGCUGGUUAAUAAGUUAAAAGUGAAAUCCCGAGGCUUAACCUUGGAAUUGCUUUUAAAACUAUUAAUCUAGAGAUUGAAGAGGAUAGAGGAAUUCCUGAUGUAGAGGUAAAAUUCGUAAAUAUUAGGAGGAACACCGGUGGCGAAGGCGUCUAUCUGGUUCAAAUCUGACGCUGAAGCGCGAAGGCGUGGGGAGCAAACA
rnacentral:rRNA from 1 species